UCAAGGGCAACACUUGCCUGGCACUUGAGAUUCCAGUUACCCCGAUGAUUCUUCAGAUCCUCGUGACCUCACCGCUAGUCGUAGCAAUACACACAAACAUUGUAUGGACAAAAUUAACAUUACGCCAAACAUAAGAACAAAUUGCAUAAUAAUAAUCUACGCUGCGUGACGAGAUCGUAGGAACCGGAAUCACUAAAUUUGGAGUUACAGUGAUUUAAUUAUGAAUCUCUGAAGUUAUCAAGUACUUGGAGCAGCAUAACUCAUGUGGAUAAUUUUAGUUCAAGUAUAAUGGGUAAACAGAGUUACUAGGUGAUAAACAAUAUUAAAACAAAAUUAUUACCACUAGAAUGAAUCAAUUUGAAAUUAAAAUGGGGAAGUUAUGAAUUUCCAAAGGUUUUAUGUAUUUGAUACAAGAUUAAUUAAGAGAUUAAAUUUAAUGGGGCUUUCAUGUCAAAACAGUGGCACUAGAUGAUAAACAAUAGUAUUACAAAAUUUUAGAAACUUGAAUGGAUUAAUUUUGAGUUCAAAUGAAUUUUCUAUGAUUUAUAAAAGUCCUAGCAAAUAUUUUCAUAUUAAAUAUUCAUUUUCUAAUUCAUUUAUCCAAUUUAAAUGGGCUCUGGACUGCGCGCACUAAAACAGGGAUUUGCAGGGGCCUUGGCGCAAUUAAACCGUAGACUCAGAACACUAUACAUUGGACUGCGGGUUCAUAUAACAAAAGGGCAGGGGCUCUUAUGUAAUUAUGCUCGGCCGAAGGGGUACGGGGUGAUAUCGGCCGUUUGAUCCAAAAUCUGCGCGCCAGAUUAGACUUCAUGCUAGUUAUUCAUCCGCGCUCAACCAUGGCCGUCGGAUCCGGGAUUUGCGGUUCUGGUUUAAUGACUCGAAGGGGUACGCCCAGAUUCGGUCUAGGCCAUUCCUUUCAUGAUCAACGGUCUAGGGCCAACUCACCCUAGAUCUAAUCCUAGCUCUACAGCGAUUGAUCAACGGUCUUGGGGCUUCUUCCUCCCCAUGACCCCGGACGGCUGCGUCACGAACUGGGGAAACGUCUAGCUCGCGUGUAGGUUGACUAACCGCCCAGGAGUAUGGAUCGGAGCGUGGAUAGAACCUAUGCAGUAAGGAUGAAAUGUUGAAUUACAUGGAUGUCUUCUUACCAAGUUCGAAGCACAAGUACAGUUGCCCACGGAGGCUUGCGGCGUGAUGGCGAUUCCUCAACACCGCCCGCGAAGCUCCCGAUUUCUGACUUGGCGAAUACGUGAAUGAGUCUUCGCGCGGUACGGGGUGAUAUCGCAGCUUGACAACGCCCGCAAGUCGUUGGAGAACCCGGCUCCCACCGCACGACAGAGACG
rnacentral:lncRNA from 1 species